rnacentral:rRNA from 1 species
GGAGGUAGUGACAAUAAAUCACAAUGCGGGACUAUUCGUCUUGCAAUUGGAUUGAGAACAAUGUACAACUCUUAUCGAUAAGCCAUUGGAGGGCAAGUCUGGUGCCAGCAGCCGCGGUAAUUCCAGCUCCAAUAGCGUAUAUUAACGUUGUUGCAGUUAAAAAGCUCGUAGUUGAAGUGUGGGUGGUGCCUACUUCAUGACUUCGGUUGUGAGGUAGAUCACCACCCCCUUCCAGUAUCCAGUAGUGGGUAUUCAGUUACUUACUAUUGUGUGUUGGUCAUUUACUGUGAGAAAAUUAGAGUGUUCAAAGCAGGCGUUUGCUUGAAUAGAUUAGCAUGGAAUAAUAAUUGAAGGCUUUCGUGUUCGAUUUGAUUGGUUUGUUCAUGGAAGCAAGGUUAAAAGGAACAGUUGGGGGUAUUCAUAUUCACUAGUUAGAGGUGAAAUUCUCGGAUUUAUGGAAGAUGAACAAGUGCGAAAGCA